rnacentral:rRNA from 1 species
CCCCUAGAUGUUCUGGGCCGCACGCGCGCUACACUGAACAGUUCAACAAGUCUUAACCUUGGCCGAUAGGUCUGGGUAAUCUUUGAACGCUGUUCGUGAUUGGGAUAGACCUUUGCAAUUAUGGGUCUUCAACGAGGAAUUCCUAGUAAACGCAAGUCAUCAGCUUGCAUUGAUUACGUCCCUGCCCUUUGUACACACCGCCCGUCGCACCUACCGAUUGAAUGGUCCGGUGAAAUCUCGGGACGGCGGCCCGGUCGCUUGCGUCCGACUGCUGAAACUUGAUUAAACCAUAUCAUUUAGAGGAAGGUGAANUCGUAACA